rnacentral:rRNA from 1 species
CCUACGGGGGGCAGCAGUGAGGAAUAUUGGUCAAUGGACGAGAGUCUGAACCAGCCAAGUAGCGUGAAGGAUGACUGCCCUAUGGGUUGUAAACUUCUUUUAUAUGGGAAUAAAAUGUUCAACGUGUGGGAUUUUGUAUGUACCAUAUGAAUAAGGAUCGGCUAACUCCGUGCCAGCAGCCGCGGUAAUACGGAGGAUCCGAGCGUUAACCGGAUUUAUUGGGUUUAAAGGGAGCGUAGGUGGAUUGUUAAGUCAGUUGUGAAAGUUUGUGGCUCAACCGUAAAAUUGCAGUUGAAACUGGCAGUCUUGAGUACAGUAGAGGUGGGCGGAAUUCGUGGUGUAGCGGUGAAAUGCUUAGAUAUCACGAAGAACUCCGAUUGCGAAGGCAGUUCACUGGACUGCAACUGAUACUGAGGCUCGAAAGUGUGGGUAUCAAACAGGAUUAGAUACCCCUGUAGUC